rnacentral:tRNA from 1 species
GCGGUCGUAACUCAACUGGCUAGAGUGCCGACCUCCAAAGUCGGAAGCUGCAGGUUCAAAUCCUGUCGACCGUG